UAAAAAAUGUAAUUGGAAAGCAGCGGAAAAGUAUCGUUAGAUGGCGUUGCAGUACACCCUCACUAUUUUUUACCACUGUGAGCUGAGACUGUGACAACUGACAAGAGUGACAGAAUUUGAUGGAUUAACGAGUAUUUUCUCUUAUAAUUAAAUCCGGGAACGUGUUCAAUCUACGUGUCUUCCUCCUGUUAAAUCUCUAGUUCGAGUGUUAAGAAAAUAAGAAAAAUAACAAAUAAAUAUGUGAAGGAUCUUAAAUUACAUCAUUGGCUGCGUUAUGCAAUCGCCGUGGUUUACAUUAAAAGUUAAAAUGUUAAGCAAGUUGAUUACUUUACAGCUAUAACCCAUGUUUUUCUUUAUUUUAGGAAUCUUUUAAUUAUCAACCACUGAGGCCUAGUAUGUUUAUGCAUGUUUUAAACUUAAGAGAAUUGUGUAUGCUCAUUCAUUGAGCAGCAUGCUUGUUGAGGACAAUAGUCGAUCUAAAGGGUAACUCAACAUCAAUCUAUUUUCAUCUCAAAAGUAAGCAUCUAAUUGAUGGCCGUCAUGAAGGUGACUGCAGGUUUCUAAAGAAAGCUUUUGUGUAAUAGCUGAAUUUUGUGAAAAACUUAACGUUUUAUGUUGGUAAUUGUUUUAGAGUAACGAAAUGCUUGCUAAGUUCGUUUUUUGGUUGUCCAUGUUUUUACCAUUUUAACGAUUUUAUCCAUCAUUCCUCUCUAAUAAUUAAGAUUUUCAUAGGCGCGGUUGUGGGAGAACCUUUGUCCGAAAAGAGAUGAUGAAUGGGGCUCUCAAAUCAGUCAAAUUACUUUCACGUCAAUCCUACUUCGCUCGUUUGGCAUUAAUGAACGCCAUUGUCGUUUCGAGUUUGUAAAGGCCGCCAUUUGUGAAGACAUCUAGCGGAGGAAUUGCUCACUACUUAGUAAUUGAGUUGAAUUGUCAGCUACCUACGAUAGCAAGAGGAAAGCUGUUUUGUAACAGCAGGAGGGAUGCUGCUGACCGUGUCGUAAUUUGGCAUUCAAGUAUAUUUCAGAAAAGUCUUAACUUUUGAUCGUUAGAUGUCGCUGAAGACGUUAUUCGUUAAAAAUGGCAGGUAAUGGGUCGUCUGCUACCAUAGUUGAUUGAACGUGAAUGAAACUCAUCGAACUAUAAAGGAAGUGUUCCAUUCACGGCCAGUGACGCACUUGAAGCUAAAAAAAUAUAUAUAUAUUUUUCUGUUCAUUAGAAAAAGAAAAUUUCAGGCAAUUAAGGUAACUUAUCUUACUUAAUACCAGUGAUCGCCAACUGCAUGUGAGUAACAAGUCUGUGGUUAUUCUCGCAAUUUAAAUGGAUGAAAAAGCUGUGAUUUUGGAGCGUUGUGGUGAAAAGAUAUCUUAAGAUUGUAUAAAUUUAUUGGGGAAGAACAGUAAUGCAGAAAAAAGCUCUCAUAAGCUUUUGUUCAAUGUAAUGUCAUCACCUCUGCAAUUUUGUUGAAAAACAUUAUGUGCAUUGUGGCAGUGUCAGGAUUCCCAGCAACUAUUUUAUAGCUUCUUUCAUCCAACUGGAAACUUAUUAUGGAAGAGAAAGUAUAUACAAUAGCUUAUACAACAAUAGUUAAUGUAUUUGUGUUAUUUAAUAUCACAGGUGAGCUGUCGGUCAAAAGUGGUGGUCUCUGUCCCACCCAGACACCAACACUAGAAGCUGUUUGUUAUGAGGCAUUGAUGAAAAUCUAAGUUGUUUUGGUCUUAUAAAAUCCUGUAAGACUGCAUGACGACCACAGGCAAGGUUCGCCUUAUGGCUUUUGUUUUUUAUCCUAAUUAGGAAAUACUAAGCAACGUAAUGGUAUUUAAGUUUCCUGUAGGUUUUUUUUGUCACUAGAUGGCAUAUAGGUAACACUUCAUAAUGGAGGCCGUGGCUAUCUUCAUGGUUAUGGUUUCACCCAGAGUAAUAGAAUACUAUUAGUCUAUUACUAUAUUAUUGUAUUCUAUUACUCUGGUUUCACCCGUCUCCUGGCAAAUGGCAACCAACAGUUAUUUUAUUAAGGCUUUUUUUGUUUGUUUUUUUUUUUUUAUUUUUGCCAGUUACAAUUUCUUUUAUUUGAAUUUUCAAAUGAAUGUGGCAAUGGAAAGCUGAACGGCAAGAAAAAGUUGAUCUGCGAACUGAAUUUUUGAGAGUUAUGUGAAUAGAAGGAACAAGAGAUUCUGCUAAAGAAGGUACAUAAUGUAAUGUUGUCUAUCAUGUAGCAAGUCUACAUCAUGUCAUCAUCAUGUAGUAAGUCUAUUGCCCCUCAAAAAUUGAGGGGCAAUAGAGGUUUUUCCAUUUGGUUCGUGUAAGUAGAGGGAAAAGUCGGUGCGGCUAGUCGACUAGUGCGCACCAUGGCGGGGGAUAGCCGAAACUUGCUGCAGACUUUGCUUGAUCCAACCAAUAGACACAGUUGGGUCUAUUAAUUAAUUAAUUCUAAAUUAAUUAAGUCUAUUUCCUUCUACAAAUGGAUUUUGAACUAUUGUACAUAUGGUUUUAUGUACUCAAUGAUAUUUUCGCGAAGCCUUUAAUUGACGUUAUACUGAAAAAAUUCCCAUGGAAGGAAGUUCUUGCAGGAUCUGUUAUCGACCGUCUAUGUUAUGCAGUAAUUGGAUCUACUGUUUAGUUAGAAACUUAAACUUAGAAAUUUUCUCAGCGUAGAAUUUAUAUGAAGAAUGUUAUUUCAUUGGAAAAAGUUCCUGGUUGAGACAAGAGAUAAAAAAAUGAUACUGUUUGGAAAGACGACCGGCAAUUUCAAGAUUCAUUAAUUUCCUUCCACAUUAUAGUAUUAUUAUAUUUAAAAAAAGAUUGAAUUGCAUAUCUGGGCUCCCUUCUUUUCUGUGGCCCCGUUUCCCCUUGACUCGUAAUAAGCCCGUAGGGGGUCAUGCCCCUACUGUGAUCAGCAGUAAAGGUU